CACAGCUCAGAUUGGCAUGUUGGUGAACUUAUUAGCUUAGAAGUUAGAUUUCACUUUAUUUAUGCCUACAUGAGCUGCAUACAACUGCUCUAAUCGGUAGGAUGUGGACGGACAUUGCAUUUAUUCCCAUUCAGCCGUUGGACUGAACCGUUACUGUAACACAGUAUGGAUGGUCAAUAUGAAGCGAGCUUUAUUGAAUUCCUCCAAGAGCUCUGUACUCCGUUCUGAUCAUUUUGAAGAUGGUUGCUUUGACAGGACUGGGCAAGUGACUCGUCUUAGACAGGAUGCUGUCCCAACCAUGUUUGAUUUCCUGCCUCGUCUUCAGAAGAAUUCAACAAACCAAGGAAUUCCCCGAAAGAAAGAUGUUUUGAUUCAGCAAACAACCUUCCAGAUACUGCAAAGACACCUGUACCAAAGUCUUCAGCACCAUUAUUUCUUAAGGACCACUCCUACUCAAUACCAGAAAGUCCAAGAGGGGUAAAGUGGAAGUUAACAGCAAUAAUGGACUGUAUUAAGAAUUUGGAGAAGAGGCUGAAAACCACACACAAUAAGUCCCGCCGUGUACAUUACUUGCUCUUAAGUUUGGACAAACAUAACUUGCAAAACUUUACAACAAAUAAUUACCACAAUGUGCAUUCUGAUUAUUUAAAAUAGCUCAAUGAAAUAGUUUAUCAGUGGGCAUGUAACAAAAGUGAAUUCAUUAAAUUUUAACGUGUUGCAAAAAUGAUGUCUUACAGUAUAUUCAUUCUGACUUAGCAUGUCAGAAGAGAAAAAAGUUUGUGAAAAGUAGGAAUGAUGGCAAGCUGACAGAAGAAUAGAACAGGAUAGAGCAAGGGGGACAGAUAAAGGACAAGUCCACCCCAAAAAUUGUUGAUUUGAAAAAAAAGAGAAAAAUCCAACAAGCAUAACACUAAAAAUUUGAUAAAAAAUCGGAUGUAAAAUAAAAAAAGUUUUGACAUUUAAAAAUUUUGCUAAAUUUUACAAAAGAGUUAUAUGCACAUUCUGUACACAGUUGGUAUGCAAAUGAGGAGACUGAUGACGUCAUCCACUCACUAUUUCAUUUGAUAUAUAGAAUAGAAUAAGGAAAAUUUUAUUCUUGUCAUGUUUAACAAAAUUUUAUUCCUCCCUGAUCAUGUGGAAUUAGCAUUAUUCAAUACUUUAUGGUUCAGUAAAGUUUGUCCUUAUGGUAAAAUCUGUAAAAAAUGAAAUAUUGUAUAAUUCAAACAAUAAAAAACAAAAUAAACAGUGAGUGAGGGACAUUAUCGACUGUCUCAUUUGCAUGUCACUGAGUUGUGAAUAUUUUUGUUUUGUGAAAAAUAAGCGAAAAUUUAAAAUGCCAUAACUUUCUUAGUUUACAUCCGAUUUUGAUUAAAUUUUCAGCAUUAUGCUAGUUUGAUUUUUCUCUAUUUAACUGAACCAACAUUUUUCUUGGGUAGACUUGACCUUUACUAAUGAGCUGUUGGAUAGAGACAAAAAAGAUUAACUGAGAUUGAGGGUGAUAGAGAAAGAGAGACAGGUGUGGGGGAGCCUUUGAUGAAUGCCUGAGAAAGCGAACAUUACCAUUUUUUUUUUGAGGAUUUGGACAGUAAUGAAUAGUACAUGUUUUUUCUGUUGGUAUUUCUCAAAAUAUGUGUAUGUUGUAUGUAAUGAAAUGGGUAUAAUCAUUUGUAAGAUACACUCAUUCAGAAAAUAUUAACUAAACAAAAAAAAAAGCCAAAUUAUAUUUUACUCAUUAUCAACUGUUCACUCAUAUCAAAAGUACCCCCCCCCCCUCAUUUCAAGGUAUUGGGGAGAGAGAGGUUGGAUGAGAAAUGGAUUGGCUGUCUGCAGAAAAAAAUGAAGGGGGAGCAAAACAUUUUUAGGAUAUGUUCAAGGGAGCGAAGCGACCGAGCAGAAAAAUUAUUCUGGGGAUAUAUGUGAGAGAGCAAAGUGACGAGAAGAACAAAUGCAGGGGCCAAAAUAUUUCGAGAAUAUGUGAGAGGGAGCAAAGUGACCAAGCAGAAGUAAAAGGAAAGAGGGACAAAAAUUGUGGUAUGUGUGAGGGAGCAAAGCAUCCGAUAAAAAAAAAACAGAAAGCAGGUCAAUCAAAUAUUUUUCGAAUUUGUGCUGGUGAGCGACACGUUCACUCCCGAGCUUUUGGGACUUGUUUAAAAAUGGCAUAGGAAAUAUUCGUUUUCUAUAAUCAUGGUAAACUCAUAAUAUGGUAGAAUUUAGGUGUAAGAGUUAAAUUCUGGAUGAACUGUAUUGGCUGGUUAGACAUGCGCAGAGGAUUAUUUGUCUUUAUCCAUUUUUAUUUUCACAUUUUUCUUUUGUUUGAUUUUAUCUUCCAGUGGGUAAGCCCCCCCCCCUUCCCCCCGUUCCUGUGGAUACCAAUGGGGCGGGGGCUUGGAAUAGUGCAAGUCAGAGAAGGUGAAUCUGAAAUUUAUAGAUAUCAAAAGAGAGAGAAAGAAUUGUAAAAUGAAUAAAAACAAAGAUAGAGAGGGGGGAGAGUGAGAAAGCAGGUGAACUUUCGAGGGGCAUUAAAAAGUCUCAGAUUAAAAAAAUAAUUUUUGUUUAUGUAAUUGUUACACAGGGUCAGUCAAAAUAUUUUGGAAUAUGUGCGAGGGAGCGACACAUUCACUCCCGAGCGGUAGGGACUUGUUUUAGGAAAUAUGCGUUUUCUAAGAAUGGUAAACACAUAUUUUAAGGUAAAUUGCCAAGUCGUCUACUGCCAUUCAGUCCACUCACCACAUGGUCUACCUUCAUUUCGUCUAAUGUCAUUUCGUCCAAUAGCAAUUUCGUUUCCCACCCAUUUAGUCUAAUUCUAUUAAGGCUAAUGCCAUCUCGUCCAUUAAUCAGUUCGUCCAAUGUUCAUUUAGUCCAAUAGCCAUAUUGGCUAAUAUCAGUUUGUCUAAUAUCCAAAUUAUCUACUGGACUCGUCUAUCAUUUCGUCCACCACCCAUUAGGUCCAAUAAUCAGUUUGUCUAACAACCAAAUCGCCCAGUUCGUCCAAUUCCCAAAUUGUCCAAUAGUCAUUUAGUCUAAUAGCCAAUUGGUCCAAUAGCCAUGUUGUCUAAUACAAAUACAAUGUAAUGCAAUAUCCGGGGGGGGGGACGAAAUGACUUCUUAAAUAUACCUUGAAAUUACUGAAGAUAAAAAAAAUAUAUAACUAGGCCUGCUAUCAGGAAUGGAAUGAUGCGAUACAGCAUGCAGCCUCCCCCCGCUCUCUCUACCACAUCACGCACACAAAAGGGGGAAUUGGAGUGGUUAUAAUGAUAAAAUUGAAAUAGGGUCCUUUGAUUUGGAAUUUACCCUCAUUUCUUUUUUUUAACAAAUGCACACCUAAAAAUGAUAAUCACUCAUCAUAUAACAAUGAUAAUAAUUGUAAUAAUAGUAAUUAAUGAUAGUACUCAUAAACAAGAAAUGUACUAUAAUAAUAACGAUAACAGCCUUGGACGGUAGAAAACAAAUUAAAAAGAGAGAAAAGUGGGAAAGGAGGGGGAGAACAUUACAUAAAAACAUAAAAUGUAUUACAAUGGAGCUUAAAAAAAGUAAACAAUAAAAAAAGAUUAAUCAAACGACAGGUGUAAAUUAAUAACAAAUCACAAGAGCAACAGGAGUCGAGUUAGCAAUACACAGGCACCGAACUAGAAGGGCUGCUAGUAGUAGACUAUACCUAUUUGAUUGUAGACGAAACGAAUAUUGACCGGGAUGGCAAUUGGACCCAUUGAUGAUUAGACCAAAUGAUUGUUAGACGAAAUGGGUUUAGACUAAGUGACAGUGGAUCAACUGCAGUUGGACAAAAUGGAUCAUAGACAAAAUGUAUGUAGACUAAGUGGUUAUUGGCCAUUUGCCCUUAGACCAAUUAGCUAUUGGACUAAAUGGUAAUAGACAUAAUGAAAAUGGACAAAGUGGCUAUUGGACAAAUUGGCCAAAAAUGCAAUUAGACCAAAUGAAAGUAGACAAAUUGGUUAUUAGACGAAGUAGCUAUUGGACAAAAUGGUAAUUGGAAGAUGUGGAAAAGGAACAACUGAUGGUAGAUGAAAUGACAUACCAUUUGGUGAGUGGACAAAAUGGCAGUAGACGAAAUGGCAAUAAACCUAUGGGCCUAUGGUAGAAUUUAGGUGUUCUACGAGUCAAAUUCUGAAUGAACUGUAUUGGCUGGUAAGACAUGCGCCAAGAAUAUGUGUCUUUUAUCCAUUUUUAUUUUUUCACAUUUCUUUUGUUUGAUUUCAGUUUUCAGGGGAAGCCCCCCCCCCCUCCUGUGGAAGCCAAUGGGACUGGGGCUUAGAAUAGUGCAAGAUAGAAAGGGCAAACCGGAACUUUAGAUAUCAAAAGAGAAACAAAGAAUUGUAAAAUGAAAACAAAGAUAAAGAGAGAGAGCGAGCGGGUGAGCUUUCAAGGGAAGAAAGUCUGAGAUUAGAAACAUCAUUUUCAUUUACUUCUUUAUUAAUUUAUUCUAUUUUAUUUACCCAGAGUAGCCUCUUCAGUACAAAACUGCUUUACAAGAGAGCACUUCACAUCUAAAUGUAUUUAUCAGCAUUAAUAGUUUAUACAUAAUUUUUAAAAUGAGCGCGAAGCUCAGGAUAAUGUUUGAUAUUCCAACCAGAAAAAUUGGAAUUUUAAGCGUAUAAGCCACUGCCCCAUUGGCAUCCACAGGAGGGUGGGCCUUUCCGCCUGGAAACUGAAAUCAAAAGAAAAGUGUGGAAAAUGGAUGAAAGACAAAGAUCCUCUGCGCAUGUCUUACCAGCAAAUGCAGCUCAUUCAGAAUCUAACUCUUAGAGCACCUAAAUUCUACCGUAGGCCUACAAUAUGUGUUUAACAUGCUUAGAAAACGCAUAUUUCCUAAGCUAUUUUUAAACAAGUCCCUACUGCUCAAGAGUGAACGAGUUGCUUCCUCACACAUAUUCGAAAAUAUUUUAACCUGCUUUUUUUAUCGGUUGCUUUGCUCCCUCACAUACCCCAACAAUGUUAUGUCCUCUACAUUUCUUCUGCUUGGUCACUUCGCUCCCUCUCACAUAUUCCCCAAAUCUCUUGUCCCUUGCAUUUUUCUUCUCUGUCAUUUCGCUCUCUCGCAUAUAUUACAAAAUAAUUUUCUGCUGUCGCUUCGUUCCCUUGCACAUGUCCCAAAAAUGUUUUGCCCCCCCCCCCGUAUUUUUUUUUCUGCAGACAGCCAUGUCCCGUUCAUAAUCUCUCUCCAAUACAUUGAAAUGAUGGGGGGGGGGGGGGCUGUUGCACCCACAAAUGUAAUAACGCCCACAAAUGUAAUAACGCCCACAAAUGUAAUAACACUUUACCCACAAAUGUAAUAACGCCCACAAAUGUAAUAACACUUUACCCACAAAUGUAAUAAUUUCACCCACAAAUGUAAUAAUGCACUUUACCCACAAAUGUAAUAAUUUUUGAUCGCCCACAAAUGUAAUAAUGACUUUACCCACAAAUGUAAUAAAUUUGAAGAGAUUUUUGGCGAAUCCGUUCUAAACUUAAAUCCUAUAGUAAUGCAUUCAUAUGGCACAAAAGUGCAAAGUUUUUUUUCCAGACCCGGUUAAUUAAACAUUAUAGUACAAUUCCAAAGUCUUUUUCCAGACCCGGUUGUUUCAAAAUUACAAUAUACGUCCAUAGUCUUUUUUCCAGACCCGGUUAAUUCAAAAAUUAUAAUGCAAGUCCAAAGUCUUUUUUUCAGACCCGGUUGUUUCAAAAAUUAUAAUAUAAGUCCAAAGUCUUUUUCCCAGACCCGGUUGUUUCAAAAAUUAUAAUAUAAGUCCAAAGUCUUUUUUUCAGACCCGGUUAAUUAAAAAAUUAUAAUACAAGUCCAAAGUCUUUUUUCCAGACCCAGUUGUUUAAAAAAAAUAAUAUAAGACAAAAGUCUUUCUCCAGACCCGUUUAUUUCCAAAAUUAUAAUAUAAGUCCAUACUAAUAUACUAUAAUGAUAUUCCAGUGGAAUAAAAAUGAGAAUCGAGCUUAGUCUUUUGUCCAGACCCAAUUCAAUGAAACUAGUGGAAUUAAUGUCUUAGAUGUUGUUUCUACUUAUGCGGCGUAUAUUGUGAAUAUAUGCGCUAAGAGUAAAUUGAGAAUCAAGCGUAGUCUUUUCUCCAGACCUGGUUACUUAAAACUAUAAACUAAACCCUAUAGCAAUGCGUUCAUAUAGCACAAAAGUGCAAAGUCUUUUUUCCAGACCCGGUUAAUUAAACAUUAUAGUACAAGUCCAAUGUCUUUUUCCAGACCCGGUUAUUUCAAAAUAAUAAUAUACGUCCAAAGUCUUUUUUCCAGACCCGGUUAAUUCAAAGAAUUAUAAUGCAAGUCCAAAGUCUUUUUUUCAGACCCAGUUGUUUCAAAAAUUAUAAUAUAAGUCUAAAGUCUUUUUUCCAGACCCGGUUGUUUCAAAAAUUAUAAUAUAAGAACAAAGUCUUUUUUCCAGACCCGGUUGUUUAAAAAAUUAUAAUAUAAGUCAAUACUAAGAUACGAUUUUGAUAUUCCAGUGGAAAAAAGAGAAUCGAGCUUAGUCUUUUUUCCAGACCCGGAUAAUUAAACAAUUACAAUAUAAGUCCAAAGGGUUUCCUCCAGACCUGGCUAUUAAAAAAUGAAUUAAAAAAACUUCAAAUCUAAGACCAAUUUUCCAAAGUUUCACCCAGGAAAAAAAUAUGUCUUUACCCCACACCCAGUUUUUUUUUUAAUAAUACUACGACCCCUACAAAACAUUGUAAUAAUGCAUGGGUAAAGCACACAUCAUUUCUCCAGACUUGGUUAUUAUUUGAAAAAAAUAAAGUUGUUUCUACAAAUAUUCUAAAACGAAUACCCAAUAAUCUAAUUACUGUGGAAUAACUUGAAGACUGAUUGUCAAAGAUCGACUUUCCACCAGACAUAAUUAUUUCAAGAAUAAAAAAUCAAUAAAACCCAACCCCCCAAAACGAAUCUUAGAACCAACAAUCCUCCAAAUUAAGACCAUGUAGAAAAGCACAUGUUUAGAGCGUUGUCUUUAUUCCAUACCCAGUAAUUUAAAAAUGGUUUAAACAAUCUUAAAAACAAAAUACUUUGUCAUAUUCCUAUUCUUGUGGAAUAGCACGAGUAUUAUGCUUAGUCUUUCGUCUAAACCCGGUUAUUUAAAAGAUAAACAAAUAUUGAAAAAAAAAUCACAGCUAAGACCAAUCUUCAAAAUUAAACCCAUUUAAAAUGCUUGGGCUUAGAGGGUUGUCUUUACCCCUCACCCAGUUCUCUUUAAAAUACAAAGUAAGCGAAACAUUAAUCUUAAAACUUAGACCCCAGCAUCUUCCAAACUAUACAACCCUUGUGAUAGCGCAUACUUAAUUUGACCAGACCA